rnacentral:rRNA from 1 species
CUACGGCAGCCGUAACACAUGCAAGUCGAGCGGAACGAUGGGAGCUUGCUCCCAGGCGUCGAGCGGCGGACGGGUGAGUAAUGCAUAGGAAUCUGCCCGGUAGUGGGGGAUAACCUGGGGAAACUCAGGCUAAUACCGCAUACGUCCUACGGGAGAAAGCAGGGGAUCUUCGGACCUUGCGCUAUCGGAUGAGCCUAUGUCGGAUUAGCUAGUUGGUGAGGUAACGGCUCACCAAGGCCGCGAUCCGUAGCUGGUCUGAGAGGAUGAUCAGCCACAUCGGGACUGAGACACGGCCCGAACUCCUACGGGAGGCAGCAGUGGGGAAUAUUGGACAAUGGGCGAAAGCCUGAUCCAGCCAUGCCGCGUGUGUGAAGAAGGCCCUCGGGUUGUAAAGCACUUUCAGUGAGGAAGAAGGCUUGUGGGUUAAUACCCUGCAAGAAGGACAUCACUCACAGAAGAAGCACCGGCUAACUCCGUGCCAGCAGCCGCGGUAAUACGGAGGGUGCGAGCGUUAAUCGGAAUUACUGGGCGUAAAGCGCGCGUAGGCGGCUUGAUAAGCCGGUUGUGAAAGCCCCGGGCUCAACCUGGGAACGGCAUCCG